UGAACGCUAGCGGCAGGCCUAACACAUGCAAGUCGAGGGGUAACGAUGGCUUCGGCCAGGCGACGACCGGCGCACGGGUGAGUAACGCGUUUGUAACCUACCUCUAACUGGAAGAUAGCCCGAAGAAAUUCGGAUUAAUAUUCCAUAAUACUAUGAAUUGGCAUCUUUUUAUAGUUAAAGCUCCGGCGGUUAGAGAUGGGCAUGCGUAACAUUAGCUUGUUGGUGAGGUAACAGCUCACCAAGGCUACGAUGUUUAGGGGGUCUGAGAGGAUGGUCCCCCACACUGGUACUGAGACACGGACCAGACUCCUACGGGAGGCAGCAGUGAGGAAUAUUGGUCAAUGGGCGAAAGCCUGAACCAGCCAUGCCGCGUGAAGGAUGACAGCGCUAUGCGUUGUAAACUUCUUUUGUACGAGAAGAAACGCUCCGACGUGUCGGAGUUUGACGGUACCGUACGAAUAAGCAUCGGCUAACUCC
rnacentral:rRNA from 1 species